UAGUAGAGAUCACGCUCCUUAUGAAACAGACCAGGAAACUGAGGCUGAGAGAGGGCACGGGACCUAUCCAUCGUCCCGCUGCUAGGACCAAUUUGGGACCAGGAGUCACAUUGACAUCCUCUCUGCACAAACUCUAUGUUGUUUCAAGUGAGUGAGAAGUCUUCCCACAGAGGACUCAUCAUAGAGGACGUGUUUCACGUCCGAUUUCCCUGUGACGCAUUUCCUCACCACGGCCUCCCAGCACCGGUCCUAGCGGCCUGGGGACUCCGACCCUUCCAAGGUAUGCAAAACCAAAACCAGCUUCAUGACGGCAUUAAGCGGCUCUUUGCCAUUGUCCCUGUUCCUCUCCGCAGUGUGCAGUAGAGUUUUCCAAAGACCGUAAGACAGGCGGUGCAGCAACAGACUGCAGAAGCAGAUGGUGCGACGCCCGCCUCAAGACAAAACAAAUCAGAUGGUUAUUCAGUGUCAUCAGUGAGACUGUUUACGCAGGUGGGACCAGUUUGUGUCUGCUCCAGGAUAGCUGGCUCUAGGUCAAAUAUCAGAAUUCGAAUAUCAGCCGUGCCUUUAGCAAAUGGACAAGCUUGGGCGGAGACCUCACUACAUUACCCAGUUUCCCCAAACCUCAAGGACCAUGUCCCUUACAAAUGGACCUUAGCAGCACUACCUUGGUAGGCAUGUUGAACGUUUUCUUAAGGAAUCUCUAUACCCCAUGUGGGGCUUGAACUCAUGACGCCGAGAUCAAGAGUCCUCUGCUCUACCAGGCGCUGACCCAGUCAGGCGUCCCUACGGUACAUUUUAAGAGGACAUCAGACACAACCAUGGAAUGCUGAUGUGCCCCUGAAGCUAGAAAGCAGGGAGCAGAGACUGAGUUCCCUUCCUGGUGAAAGCAUGAGCUCCAGGGUGGACAAAGCCAGUGCCUUCACCUCUCUGCUCCCCAGAUUCUCUUCCUCAAGCCCACUGGCAUCCGAAGUGGGGUUCGUGAUGUGAGAGAACUUAGAGGUUCCCUCCGGGUGAGCAAAAAAGGGAAGCUGGGUUAACUACAACCCGUUUAGUCACGCAGACAAUCAUGCCUAUCGUUCCAACCCCAGAGCCCCACGUCUUUUUUGAUUGCUUGCUCAAACAGUACAUUAAAUCAUCUCUAACAUGCAAGAACUAUGUUAUGUUGAAACAGAAGCGUCUCCAAAAGACAAAUACUGUAUGAUUUCAUUCAUAUGUGGAACCUAAAAAACAAAACAAAUGAGCAAACACAACACACCAGAAACAGACUCAUAGAUAACAAGAGAACAAAGUGUUGGUUACCAGAGGGAAGGGGGCAGUUGCAGAACAGGAGAAAUAGUGAAGGGGAUGAAGAGAUAUAAACUUCUAGUUAUAAAACAAACAAGUCGCUGGGAUGUAAGGUAUAGCAUGGGGAAUAGAGUCCUUAAUUUUGUAAUGACUUUAUAUAGUGACAGAUGGUGGCUAGGCUUACCAUGGGAUCAUUUAAUUAUGUAUAAAAAUAUCAAAUCAUUUUGAUGCACACCCCAAACUACUAGGAUAUCGUGUGUCAGUUGUGCUUCAGUUAAAAACACAAAUUAAUGGGGCACCU